AUUUCAGUAAAAAAUGUUUAAUUGUAUUUUUAAAAAUGUGCCCAGUUGUAUGCCAGCUAUCUUUUAAUAUGGCUUAUAAACACAUAUAUUCAUGUACACCCUCACAGACAUGUCUAAAAGGAUAACUUAGGUUUUUAAUUUUUCAUGUAUGUGGACCUGUGAGAGUUACAUGCACCACAUGCAUACAUGAGCCUAAGGAGUCCAGAAGAGGAUGUUGGCCCUCCGGCAACUGGAGUUCAGGCAAUUGUGAAUAGCUGUAUAUUUGCUGAGACCUGGAUUUGGGGCCUCUGCCAGAGCAGUAAAUGCUCUUAAUUGCUGAGCCAUCUCUUCUGCCCUGAAAGUCAUUUGAAGGUAUGGUGGUAUAUUCCUGUAAUAGCAGCAUUUGGAAGACAGCUGGUGGGGAGAGCACCACAGAUUUGAAGCUGACAAGAUCUACAUAGCAACUUCUAGAUGAGCCAGGGCUACAUACAUCUCCAACACUUAACUGCCUUGAAUCCAGUCACUGUCACCUGAAGUUGUCACUACUUGGAAGACUAGUCUCUGAAGCUUUCUCUUAUCUGUGAGCCUCUGUCAUAGUCAUGGAUUUGAGUCCAGGAGGCAACUGCUGAGAUUUCCAGGUUCUCAUGUUCCAGGGCAAAGAAUUCCA
rnacentral:sRNA from 1 species